CUUAUGGAUCUCGUAAUAGGAAUGAGUACAAUUUAAAUCUCUUAACGAGGAACAAUUGGAGGGCAAGUCUGGUGCCAGCAGCCGCGGUAAUUCCAGCUCCAAUAGCGUAUAUUAAAGUUGUUGCAGUUAAAAAGCUCGUAGUUGAAUUUCGGGAUCAAUUUAUCGGUCGUGCCAAUGGUAUGAACUGGUACAAUUGGUUUCUCCCUUCUGACGGAGCAUGAUGUCAUUAAUUUGGUGUCGUGGGGAAUCAGGACUGUUACUUUGAAAAAAUUAGAGUGUUUAAAGCAAGCAUUAGCUUGAAUACAUUAGCAUGGAAUAAUGAAAUAGGACGUUUGAUCCUAUUUCGUUGGUUUCUAGGAUCGACGUAAUGAUUAAUAGGGAUAGUUGGGGGCAUUAGUAUUCAAUUGUCAGAGGUGAAAUUCUUGGAUUUAUUGAAGACUAACUACUGCGAAAGCAUUUGCCAAGGAUGUUUUCAUUAAUCAAGAACGAAAGUUAGGGGAUCGAAGACGAUCAGAUACCGUCGUAGUCUUAACCAUAAACUAUGCCGACUAGGGAUCGGAUGAUGUUAAUUUUUUAAUGACUCAUUCGGCGCCUUACGGGAAACCAAAGUGUUUGGGUUCCGGGGGGAGUAUGGUCGCAAGGCUGAAACUUAAAGGAAUUGACGGAAGGGCACCACCAGGGGUGGAGCCUGCGGCUUAAUUUGACUCAACACGGGGAAACUCACCAGGUCCAGACAUAGUAAGGAUUGACAGAUUGAGAGCUCUUUCUUGAUUCUAUGGGUGGUGGUGCAUGGCCGUUCUUAGUUGGUGGAGUGAUUUGUCUGGUUAAUUCCGAUAACGAACGAGACCUUAACCUGCUAAAUAGCUAGGCUUAGCAUUGCUAGGUCGUCAGCUUCUUAGAGGGACUAUCGGUGUUUAACCGAUGGAAGUUUGAGGCAAUAACAGGUCUGUGAUGCCCUUAGAUGUUCCGGGCCGCACGCGCGCUACACUGAUGAAGUCAACGAGUUCACUCCCUUUGUCGGAAGACAUGGGUAAUCUUUUGAAACUUCAUCGUGCUGGGGAUAGAGCAUUGCAAUUAUUGCUCUUAAACGAGGAAUCCCUAGUAAGUACAAGUCAUCAGCUUGUGCUGAUUACGUCCCUGCCCUUUGUACACACCGCCCGUCGCUACUACCGAUUGAAUGGCUUAGUGAGGACUUCGGAUUGAGCUUCGGAAGCUGUAAAAGGCAUCCGAUUUUUAAAAAGUUGUUCAAACUUGGUCAUUUAGAGGAAGUAAAAGUC
rnacentral:rRNA from 1 species